rnacentral:piRNA from 1 species
UAAAUUUCCAGGAUAUCACAGGAGUUUAGA